GAGACAGCAGUCGCCACGGUAAUACGUAGGGUGCAAGCGUUAAUCGGAAUUACUGGGCGUAAAGCGUGCGCAGGCGGUUAUAUAAGACAGAUGUGAAAUCCCCGGGCUCAACCUGGGAACUGCAUUUGUGACUGUAUAGCUAGAGUACGGCAGAGGGGGAUGGAAUUCCGCGUGUAGCAGUGAAAUGCGUAGAUAUGCGGAGGAACACCGAUGGCGAAGGCAAUCCCCUGGGCCUGUACUGACGCUCAUGCACGAAAGCGUGGGGAGCAAACAGGAUUAGAGACCCCUGUAGUCCCUGUCUCUUAUAC
rnacentral:rRNA from 1 species